UUUAACGGCCGCGGUAUUUUGACCGUGCGAAGGUAGCGUAAUCACUUGUCUUUUAAAUGAAGACCCGUAUGAAUGGCACGACGAGGGCCACGCUGUCUCCUUUACCUAGUCAAUGAAAUUGAUCUACCCGUGCAGAAGCGGGUGUAUUGCCAUAAGACGAGAAGACCCUAUGGAGCUUUAGACACUAGAUCAGACCGAGUAAAGACCCCCAAGCUAACGGGAAUAAACCACACGGAACCCUUUUCAACUGUCUUUGGUUGGGGCGACCGCGGGGAAAAACCAAACCCCCGCACGGAACGGGAUAAACACCCCUGAGACCAGCNCCACAGGCCCGGUCAGCAGAACAUCUGGCCACCAAGAUCCGGCAAUGCCGAUCGACGGACCCAGUUACCCUAGGGAUAACAGCGCAAUCCCCUUUUAGAGCUCACAUCGACAAGGGGGUUUACGACCUCGAUGUUGGAUCAGGACCUCCUAAUGGUGCAGCCGCUAUUA
rnacentral:rRNA from 1 species